UAAUGUGGCUUUUUUAAAAAAAAAAAUAAAACAAAGUAGAUAUAAUGAUACAAACAGCAAUGACAAUAGUACUAGUAGUACUAAUACUUAUGUAUAUAGUGAACUACAAGAUAAUAUACAUAACAAUAAUUCUUCUAAUGUGACUUUUUUUAAAGGAAAUUAUACACUUUACUUGCACAAUAUGAAAAUAUUAUUUGAAAAUAAAAAAAAAAAAAAAGAACAACUAUUUAAAAUAAUAGAUCAAUUAAAUAAUAAUUUAAAAAAACUAAAAAAUAAAAAGAAAGAAUCAUUUAUACAACAAUCUUUAAAAAAAAAAGAAGAAGAAUUACAACUAUAUCAAAAUAUAUACUCUAAUUUUUUUGAUAACAAAUUGGAUUAUUCUUAUUUGUAUUAUAAUUUAAUAUUAAAUAAAAAAAGUGGUAAAAACUAUGACCUUCGUGAUUCAUCAAAAGGUUUGGAAGGAGUUAAUGAUAAUAGUAAAAAAGUAGAAAAAGUAGAAAAGGCACAACAGGAACUUGUUGAUACGAAAAAGAAAAACAUAAAAACAUCAACUACGGUGGAGGAUUGUAAUUUACAGCAGGAAAAUAUAGAACUAGAAAGUAGUAUGGUUAAUGUCGAUUUCAUUGAUGGGAGCGACAACCAUAAUAUGAAACUUAAUGUGGACGAUAUGAAAACGUUCGUAUAUAAAAAUUUGAACGACAUUGACAAAGAUAUGAACAAAAACAUUUUAAUAGAUAUAAGUAAAAAAAUAAAAAACAACGAGUUAAUAAAAGUGGGUGAAAAAUAUACUGAAAAUAAUAUACCACUAUACGAAUUUGUAGAUUUUUCUUUUUAUUUUUUAAAUAAAAAAAAAAAAAAAAAAACAUAUAUUUUUAAAAAUUUAAAUUUGAAUAUAAAUAGUAAUGAAAAUAUUUUAUUGUUGGGAAAAAACGGAAUAGGUAAAUCAACUCUUUUUAAAAUUUUGACUAAUAAAUAUAAUUUUAUAAUGAACGAAAAAAAUAAGUUAAUGAGAAGUAAAUCCACUUGGAAUGAAUGGGAUAAAAUUAAUAGUAAUAAAAAGAUGUAUGUGGAUGGAGAUAUUAUAGAUUAUACAUAUGACAACAGUAGUGUUAGUUGUAACAAAAAAACAAAAAAAAAAAUAAAAUUCACAAAUGAUAGUGAAAAAAUAACCAAUUUUGAAGGAAACAUACAUUGUAAUUAUAAUAACAUAUUACUAACAUAUUUUGAACAAAAUAUGAUAAAAAAGUUAAACGUAGACAUAAAUGAUUUUUUUAAAUAUAUAAUAAAAAAAGCAAAUUACCGUAACGUGAGUUUUUAUGGUGAUGGUGAUGGUGAUGGUGAUGGUGAUGAUGAUGAUGAUGAUGAUGAUGAUGAUGAUGAUGAUGAUGAUGGUGAUGGUGAUGAUGGUGAUGAUGAUGAGUAUGGUAAUGGUGACAACACAAAAAUGGACAAGAACCAAUUUUAUAAUAAUUGCUUUUUUUACAUUUUAAACAAAACUAAACCCUUAUGCAAUGAUUAUAAUUAUAAUGAUAAUACAAAUAGCGAAUUAAAUAUAGAGCAUAAAAUAAAAUCAUUAUUAAAAAUUUUUUUUAUUGAUAGUUCAACACCUAUUUUAGAAAAAAGUGAUGGAGAAAAAAUCAGAAUUUUAUUUCUUUCUUUAUUUUUAAAACAAUCUAAUUUGUUAUUAUUAGAUGAAAUAAAUAAUAAUUUAGAUAUCUAUUUAAAAAACCUUUUAAUUAAUUUUUUAAAUAAUAUAUAUGAAGGUACAUAUAUAUUAACAACUCAUGAUUUUUAUAUUAUUAAAAAUUUAAACAAUAUUCAUAAAAUUAUAUAUAUAUUUGAUUAUAACAAUGUAUUCACAUUUUAUAACGUAAAAGAUUUUAUUGAAAAUUUUUACAAUCAAAUUUUAAACUCUGUUAGCACUUUUAAAAAUAAAGAUUUUAUUAUUAAUAAUCAUAAAUUUGAUAAGCAAAACGAAUUAGAAACAAAAAGUAAUGCUAACUUACAAAAUAAAUAUGUAAAUAUAAAUGAAAAAAAUAAUAACUUGGACUUCCAAAAUAACCAUGUUACUUUAGAUAAUAACGAAUUGUUACAAGCAACUACUUCCGAUAAAAAUUUAGAAAAAUACACACCUUGCCAACCACUAACCAAUGGAAAACAACAAAACACAAACUUAGAAAUAAAUAAUGAAAAUUAUGGUAAAUAUAUUUAUGACAAUUUUGACUACGAUAUAUUACAAUUUUUAAAAAAGCAGUCUGAAAAAGACAAAAAUGAACAACAAAAUUAUGAGCAAGUACAAGAUGAUACAACUCUAGAGUUAGAACUAUUUAAAAAAAAAAAUGCUAAUAAAAAAAAUUUUGGUGGAAAAGGUUCAUCUGGUAAAAUUAAAAUAAAAAACUGGAAAAGAUGGAAAAAAUAGUGCUGUACUGUACUGUACUGUACUGUACGCACAUAUGUGUAAUUUAACCUAUUUGCCUUAUUUUUAUUAAACAUUUUACCAAUUAUGUAUAUAUAAUAAAAAAAAAAAAAAAAAAAAAAAAAAUACA
rnacentral:lncRNA from 1 species